rnacentral:tRNA from 1 species
UGGGGUGUGGCCAAGCGGUAAGGCAGCGGUUUUUGGUACCGUGCAUCGGAGGUUCGAAUCCUUUCACCCCAA